rnacentral:tRNA from 2 species
GGGCCGUUAGCUCAGUUGGUAGAGCAGCUGACUCUUAAUCAGCGGGUCGCAGGUUCGAGCCCUGCACGGCCCACCA